rnacentral:rRNA from 1 species
CGCACGGGUGAGUAUCGCGUUUGUAACCUACCUUUAACUGGAAGAUAGCCCGAAGAAAUGCGGAUUAAUAUUCCAUAAUACUAUAGUUUGGCAUCAUUUUAUAGUUAAAGCUCCGGCGGUUAAAGAUGGGCAUGCGUAACAUUAGCUAGUUGGUGAGGUAACUGCUCACCAAGGCUACGAUGUUUAGGGGGUCUGAGAGGAUGGUCCCCCACACUGGUACUGAGACACGGACCAGACUCCUACGGGAGGCAGCAGUGAGGAAUAUUGGUCAAUGGGCGAAAGCCUGAACCAGCCAUGCCGCGUGAAGGAUGACGGCCCUAUGGGUUGUAAACUUCUUUUAUACGGGAAGAAACCGUCCUACGUGUAGGGCGUUGACGGUACCGUACGAAUAAGCAUCGGCUAACUCCGUGCCAGCAGCCGCGGUAAUACGGAGGAUGCAAGCGCUAUCCGGAUUUAUUGGGUUUAAAGGGUGCGUAGGCGGAAAUUUAAGUCAGUGAUGAAAUCCUGCGGCUCAACCGUAGAACUGUUAUUGAUACUGAAUUUCUUGAAUACAGUUGAGGUAGGCGGAAUGAGUAAUGUAGCGGUGAAAUGCUUAGAUAUUACUCAGAACACCGAUUGCGAAGGCAGCUUACUAAACUGAUAUUGACGCUGAGGCACGAAAGCGUGGGGAGCGAACAGGAUUAGAUACCCUGGUAGUCCACGCCGUAAACGAUGAUCACUCGUUGUUGGGCAAUACACCGUCAGCGACUGAGCGAAAGCAUUAAGUGAUCCAC